rnacentral:rRNA from 1 species
GAUGAACGCUAGCUACAGGCUUAACACAUGCAAGUCGAGGGGAAACGAUAGAGAAAGCUUGCUUUUUCUAGGCGUCGACCGGCGCACGGGUGAGUAACGCGUAUCCAACCUGCCCACCACUUGGGGAUAACCUUGCGAAAGUAAGACUAAUACCCAAUGACGUCUCUAGAAGACAUCUGAAAGAGAUUAAAGAUUUAUCGGUGAUGGAUGGGGAUGCGUCUGAUUAGCUUGUUGGCGGGGUAACGGCCCACCAAGGCGACGAUCAGUAGGGGUUCUGAGAGGAAGGUCCCCCACAUUGGAACUGAGACACGGUCCAAACUCCUACGGGAGGCAGCAGUGAGGAAUAUUGGUCAAUGGGCGAGAGCCUGAACCAGCCAAGUAGCGUGAGGGAUGAAGGCUCUAUGGGUCGUAAACUGCUUUUAUAAGGGAAUAAAGUGAGUCUCGUGAGACUUUUGCAUGUACCUUAUGAAUAAGGACCGGCUAAUUCCGUGCCAGCAGCCG